GUAAAUGGGGAGUUGGUAGAGCGCCUGCUUUGCAAGCAGGACGUGAGGAGUUCGAGUCUCCUUAUCUCCA
rnacentral:tRNA from 3 species